AUUUGUUCUUUGUUUUAAGGUUUUAUUGUUAUUUUUAAUGAUGUUUUACCUGCCUCUAAAGUUUUCAUUUCCUUGACUGAUGAGAGAUGAGCUGUGUGCAGCCCUGGGGUCACCAGUGUGACUCUGCACCCUCAUUUCUAAGAUCCUGUUGUCUGUGCUCUGUCUUGUAUCUUCACUUUGCAGACCUGUGCUAUCAUUUUUUUGCCUGUGUUCCUCUGCACUGUGUCAUUACUCUGGAGUCAUAAAUAUUCCAUUGUACACAUAACAACAUCUUGUUAUGUCUCUCUAUGUAAGAAUUAGGUUUGUAGCAAACAAUUAUACAGCAGUAAACAAAAAGAAAUGGAUUAGGCAAUAACUAACAUGUCAUUUGUAAAAUUGCUUGUUCAGCUUAGCCAGCUGAAAGCAGGCCCCAGUCAGGCUGCAAUAAUUUCAGAUAAAGUAAACCCAGCAAGUCUCAGCACUGAGGGCUUGCAAAGAUAGUGUACGGCUGGUAGUGGUUAUGGCACUAUUGAAUUAAAGGACUAAAAUGUAUGUUACUAUUAUGCUGAAAUGCCACAGAUACCUACUUUUCCACACAGUUUAUACAACCAAAAGGAUUUUCUUUAGCUAACUUUUAUUUAACUCAUCUUUGCACACAUAAUAGCAGAUACGACCUCUUCCUAAUAUUCUUGGGCAUAAAGCUACAAUGACAAAAACAACUUUGAUGAUUAUAAGUACUGGCGCAAUUUCCCAGUUAGUAUACACACACCUACCCAAAAGAAUUUGUACUCCUUUUAAUGAUGUAUACAAAAGAUUUUUUUUUUUUUCCUCUUAGGGACAUGUUUUUUGGGGAAUGUAUCAGUUUGUCACACAUUGGGAACAGUCACUGGAAGAUUCUUCAUCGGACUGAUGAGAAAGAAGGAAAAGCUCAAGAAAGUUGUUUGAGUGAGUUGAAAAAGCAACUAUUUUCCAAGAUAAUCGAAAUGUCAGAAACAAGUUUUCCUGCCACAUCUAAGAAAAACUUGGUCUGGGACUGAGUCUGGGUAAGCCAGGGACCCUAAAAAUAAGUACUUUAGUUUCCUAAAGAGCCAGUUUAAACUUCAGAGACCACCAAAGGGUCUUUGGCUAACUGCAAC
rnacentral:lncRNA from 1 species